CUGAGGAGGGGUCUCAUUUGCAAAAUUAACAAGGGGCUAGGGUGAAAACCCUAUCCGCCUCUUCAACCACCCCUCUUCCCUCUGUCUCCACUAUCCCAAUGCCGGUUUUAAGGUGGCGUAGGCGUGUGAGACGCGGUAAUGGCAGUGAAGAGGACGAAGCAUUUAUUGCUUCGUCCUUUUUUCACAUUUUCUUCUAUUAAAUCCUUCCAAGCAAUCCCAUAAGGUUGAGUGUAAAUUUUUGGGGUUCUACCAUACUUGAGAAGAAAGAAGAUGGAGGAAGAGGAGAAGAAAAAGAAAGGAAUUUUUGGCAUUAGAAGCUUAAUAAAAAAUUGAGCUUUGCAAAGGGUCAAAAAUUCUGAUUUUGAGUUUCUUUAAGUGAGAAUCUCCAGUUUUAAAAGUUUUAAAGUUUUAAUUUUUAUUUUUUGUUUGUUCUGGCUGAGUUUGGAGUAGGAAGGAAAGCUUUCUAGUCCAUUCUUGAUCUGCGGCUGCACCUAAAAAAGGUAUUUCCUUAUCAUUUUAUUGCUUUCAUUAGUUUUCUUGUUUGAUUUAUGGAUUAGUCCGUUUUGUUAGUUUUCUUGUUUACUUGAUGGAUUAUUGUUUUUAUUAGUUUUUUCUUAUUUUAUUGAUGGAUUAGUCUGUUUGUUA